rnacentral:rRNA from 1 species
AGAUACCCCACUAUGCUUAGUCGUAAACCCGCAAUCUUACACGCUCGCCAGAAAAUUACAAGCAGCCAGCUUAAAACUCAAAAGACUUGACAGUAUUUCAUAUCAACCUAGAGGAGCCUGUCCUACAAUCGAUAACCCACGCUCAACCUCACCCGCCUUUGCAACAACAGUCUAUAUACCUCCGUCGCCAGCCCGCCUGAAAACAGAAAAAUAGCGUGUGCAAUAGCCCACCACUAAUACGACAGGUCAAGGUGUAACUUAUAGGCCGGGCAGCGAUGGGCUACAUUUCUUAACAUAAGAAACACCGACUCCGCCAUGAAAUCUGCGACAAAAGGUGGAUUUAGCAGUAAGUCAGGCAAGAAAAGCCUGUCUGAAAUAUGCCCUG